rnacentral:sRNA from 1 species
ACACCCGUUCUUAUGCUGUUGUCAGGUGAGGCCGAGAUUAGCCUUGUUCAAUUUAUUACACAAUAGGGCUGUAAAAAAUCGAACACACUCGACUGAGCAGCAGGUCCGACAGGGCUGACCAGCCGGUCCGGAAACCUCGCAAUGCCCCAAAACUGGCCAUCGAGCCCCGUUUCAGGGCAA